rnacentral:rRNA from 1 species
GCUGAACACACGAGCGGCGCACGGGUGAGUAUCGCGUUUGCAAUCUAUCUCUAACUGGAUGAUAGCCCGAAGAAAUUCGGAUUAAUACUCCAUAAAGUCAUAAUUUCGCAUGUUAUUAUGAUUAAAGCUCCGGCGGUUAGAGAUGAGCAUGCGUGUCAUUAGCUUGUUGGUGAGGUAACAGCUCACCAAGGCAACGAUGACUACGGGUUCUGAGAGGAUGAUCCCCCACACUGGUACUGAGACACGGACCAGGCUCCUACGGGAGGCAUCAGUGAGGAAUAUUGGGCAAUGGGCGAAAUCCUGACCCAGUCAUGACGCGUGCAGGAUGACUGCCCUAUGGGUUGUAAACUGCUUUUAUACGGGAAGAAUGGUUCCUACGUGUAGGGAUUUGACCGUACCGUACGAAUAAGCAUCGGCUAACUCCGUGCCAGCAGCCGCGGUAAUACUGAGGAUGCAAGCGUCAUCCGGAUUCCUUGGGUUCAAAGGGUGCGCAGGCGGAAUAUCAAGUCAGUGGUGAAAUCCUGCAGCUUAACUGUAGAACUGCCAUUGAUACUGAUAUUCUUGAAUGUAGUUGAGGUGGGCGGAAUGUGUAAUGUAGCGGUGAAAUGCUUAGAUAUUACACAGAACACCGAUUGCGAAGGCAGCUCACUAAACUAACAUUGACGCUGAGGCACGAAAGCGUCGGGAACGAACAGGAUUAGAUACCCUGGUAGUCCACGCUGUAAACUAUGAUCACUCGCUGUUGGCAAUACAUCGUCAGCGGCUGAGCGAAAGCAUUAAGUGAUCCACCUGGGGAUUACGAUCGCAAGAUUGAAACUCAAAGGAAUUGACGGGGGCCCGCACAAGCGGAGGAACAUGUGGUUUAAUUCGAUGAUACGCGAGGAACCUUACAUGGGCUUAAAUGCAGAUCGACGUUCCGGGAAACCGGAAUUCCUUCGGGCGAACUGCAAGGUGCUGCAUGGCUGUCGUCAGCUCGUGCCGUGAGGUGUCGGGUUAAGUCCCAUAACGAGCGCAACCCUUAUCGUUAGUUGCCAGCGGGUCAUGCCGGGGACUUUAACGAAACUGCCGGUGUAACCCGUGAGGAAGGUGGGGAUGACGUCAAGUCAGCACGGCCCUUAUGUCCAGGGCUACACACGUGUGACAAUGGUCGGUACAAAGGGCAGCUACCAGGCAACUGGAUGAUAAUCUCGAAAACCGAUCUCAGUUCGGAUUGAAGUCUGCAACUCGACUUCAUGAAGCUGGAUUCGCUAGUAAUCGCGCAUCACCC